rnacentral:rRNA from 1 species
ACAGAGGUCUCGAGCGUUGUUCGGAUUUACUGGGCGUAAAGGGAGCGUAGGCGGUUCGGUAUGUCGAAUGUGAAAGCCCACAACUCAACUGUGGAAAUGCAUUCGAAACUGCCGAGCUAGAGUACUGGAGAGGAGAGCGGAAUUCUUGGUGUAGCGGUGAAAUGCGUAGAUAUCAAGAGGAACACCGGUGGCGAAGGCGGCUCUCUGGACAGAUACUGACGCUGAGGCUCUAAAGUUAGGGGAGCAAACAG